AUCUACAGCCACGCCACCCUGAACGUGCCCAAUCUCGUCUGAUCUUGGAAGCUAAGCAGGGUCGGGCCUUGUUAGUACUUGGAAGGAAGACCACCUAGGAAGACCAGGUGCUGUAGGUG
rnacentral:rRNA from 1 species